AAUCAACGCUGGCGGCGCGCUUAACACAUGCAAGUCGCACGAGAAAGGGAGCACUCCUGCGUAAAGUGGCGUACGGGUGAGUAACACGUGGGAAUCUACCUCUUGGCGGGGAAUAACCCUGGGAAACCGGGGCUAAUACCGCAUAAGCUCGUGAGAGGAAAGCAGCAAUGCACCGAGAGAGGAGCCCGCGGCCGAUUAGCUAGUUGGUGGGGUAAUGGCUCACCAAGGCGAAGAUCGGUAGCCGGCCUGAGAGGGCACACGGCCACACUGGCACUGAAACACGGGCCAGACUCCUACGGGAGGCAGCAGUGGGGAAUCUUGCACAAUGGGGGAAACCCUGAUGCAGCGACGCCGCGUGAGCGAUGAAGCCCUUCGGGGUGUAAAGCUCUUUCGACAGGAACGAUAAUGACGGUACCUGGAGAAGAAGCUGCGGCUAACUACGUG
rnacentral:rRNA from 1 species